GGGGAUGUAGUUUCAAUUGGUAGAACAUGUGCUUUGCACGCAUGAAGAGUCGGUUCGAGUCCGGUCGUCUCCA
rnacentral:tRNA from 1 species